UGGGGAAUUUUGGACAAUGGGCGAAAGCCUGAUCCAGCAAUGCCGCGUGUGUGAAGAAGGCCUUCGGGUUGUAAAGCACUUUUGUCCGGAAAGAAAUCCUUGGCUCUAAUACAGUCGGGGGAUGACGGUACCGGAAGAAUAAGCACCGGCUAACUACGUGCCAGCAGCCGCGGUAAUACGUAGGGUGCAAGCGUUAAUCGGAAUUACUGGGCGUAAAGCGUGCGCAGGCGGUUUGCUAAGACCGAUGUGAAAUCCCCGGGCUCAACCUGGGAACUGCAUUGGUGACUGGCAGGCUAGAGUAUGGCAGAGGGGGGUAGAAUUCCACGUGUAGCAGUGAAAUGCGUAGAGAUGUGGAGGAAUACCGAUGGCGAAGGCAGCCCCCUGGGCCAAAUACUGACGCUCAUGCACGAAAGCGUGGGGAGCAAACAGGAUUAGAUACCCUGGUAGUCCACGCCCUAAACGAUGUCAACUAGUUGUUGGGGAUUCAUUUCCUUAGUAACGUAGCUAACGCGUGAAGUUGACCGCCU
rnacentral:rRNA from 1 species